UACGUAGGGUGCGAGCGUUACUCGGAAUUACUGGGCGUAAAGCGUGCGUAGGCGGUUUGUUAAGUCUGUUGUGAAAGCCCCGGGCUCAACCUGGGAAUGGCAAUGGAUACUGGCAAGCUAGAGUGCUGUAGAGGGUAGUGGAAUUCCCGGUGUAGCGGUGAAAUGCGUAGAGAUCGGGAGGAACACCAGUGGCGAAGGCGGCUCCCUGGACCAGCACUGACACUGAGGCACGAAAGCGUGGGGAGCAAACAGG
rnacentral:rRNA from 1 species